AUGAACGCUGCAGCCAGUAGCUACCCCAUAGCCUCCUUAUACGUGGGCGAUUUGCACUCGGACGUCACAGAAGCCAUGCUGUAUGAAAAGUUCAGCCCUGCGGGGGCCUGUGCUGUCCAUCCGGGUCUGUUGCGAUAUGAUCACCCGGCGCUCUCUGGGUUAUGCCUACAUCAACUUCCAGCAGCCAGCUGACGCUGAGAGGGCUUUGGACACCAUGAACUUCGACGUCAUAAAGGGAAAGCCAAUCCGCAUCAUGUGGUCGCAGAGGGAUCCCUCUUUGAGAAAGUCUGGGGUGGGAAAUGUCUUCAUCAAGAACCUGGACAAGUCCAUAGACAACAAAGCACUGUAUGACAUUUUCUCUGCCUUUGGAAACAUCUUGUCUUGCAAGGUGGUCUGUGAUGAGAACAGCUCUAAGGGCUAUGCUUUUGUCCACUUCAAGACCCAAGAGGCCGCUGAAGGCCAUCGAGAAGAUGAAUGGCAUGCUUCUCAAUGAUCGUAAAGUGUUUGUGGGUAGAUUCAAGUCCCGCGAAGAGCGGGAAGCGGAGCUUGGAGCCAAGGCCAAGGAAUUCACCAAUGUUUAUAUCAAAAACUUCGGAGAAGAGAUGGAUGAUGGGAAUUUGAAAGAGCUCUUCAGCCAGUUUGGUAAGAUCCUAAGUGUCAAGGUGAUGAGAGACUCCAGUGGGAAGUCCAAAGGCUUUGGCUUUGUAAGUUACGAGAAACAUGAGGAUGCCAAAAAGGCUGUGGAAGAAAUGAAUGGGAAAGAAAUGAGCGGGAAAGCCAUAUUUGUGGGCCGAGCACAGAAAAAAUAGAAAGGCAGGCUGAGUUAAAACAGAAGUUUGAGCAGCUGAAGCAGGAGAGGAUUAGCCGGUACCAGGGAGUGAAUCUCUACAUUAAGAACUUGGAUGACACCAUUGAUGAUGAGAAAUUAAGGAAAGAGUUUUCUCCUUUAGGAUCAAUCACCAGUGCGAACGUGAUGCUAGAAGAUGGAAGAAAGGGUUUGGCUUUGUCUGUUUCUCAUCUCCUGAAGAGGCGACCAAAGCUGUCACGGAAAUGAACGCACGCAUUGUGGGCUCCAAGCCUCUCUACGUCGCCCUGGCCCAGAAGAAGGAAGAGCAGAAGGCUCAUCUUGGCAGGAAUGAGGGCGCUGCCUGCCAGUGCCGUCUUCAAUCAGUUCCAGCCUGCCUGCGACUGGUGGCUACUUAGUGCCCAAAGUUCCGAAGGCUCAGGAAGACCUCCAUAUUACACACCUAACCAGUUAGCACAGAUGAGGCCUAAUCCACGCUGGCAGCAAGGCGGGAGACCUCAAGGCUUCCAAGGAAUGCCAAGUGCUCUGCAGCAGUCUGGGCCUCGGCCAGCUCUUCGACAUCUGGCUCCAACUGGGUCUGAGUGCCCGGACCGCUUGGCUAUGGACUUUGGUGGGACUGGUGCCGCCCAGUAAGGGUUGACUGACAGCUGCCAGUCUGGAGGCGUCCCUAUAGCUGUGCCACACCUUGCACCUCGGGCCGCAGUUGCUGCCGCCGCUCCCAGGGCGGUGGCUCUGUACAAGUAUGCCUCCAGUGUACGCAGCCCGCACCCUGCCCGCAGCACGCACCCUGCCAUCCAGCCGCUGCAGGCCCCCCAGCCUGCAGUCCACAUCCAGGGUCAGGAGCCCCUGACUGCCUCCAUGCUUGCUGCAGCUCCCCCACCCCCACCCCCAGCAGAAGCAGAUGCUGGGGGAGCAUCUGUUCCUGCUUAUCCAAACAAUGCAUUCAAACCUGGCUGGGAAAAUCACCGGGAUGCUGCUGGAAAUCUACAACUCUGAGCUACUGCACAUGCUGGAGUCCCCGAGUCCCUCCACUCCAAGGUGGAUGAAGCUGUGGCAGUCCUGCAGGCUCAUCAUGCCAAGAAAGAAGCUGCCCAGAGGGUGUGCACUGCUGCUGCUGCUACCUCUUAAACAGGAAAAAAAGAGUCGAAAGCCAAAUAACCCCUCAAAGCAUCCAGCUAAGGUCUGAAGACGUCCUAGUUUGUCUGUGGACCUCCACACCAAGAACCAAGUUGCAAAUUCAAUAGAUCAUUUUGUAUCAGAAGGUCAAUUAUGAAGCACCUAUAAUUUUUCAAUUAUAAGAAUAUAUUCUCUGGGUUCUGUUGUGACCCAGAUGAUAACUUUUUUUUCUAUUGUGGGUUCAGGUUUUUUUCCCUCAUCCCAGAAAUUGGUUUUUGAUGUACCCAAGACUUAAGUUUCUCAAAUAAAGGAAAUAAAAUCUC